AGCGCCAUGGAGUAGCCAGGUUAACUCACGAGGCUCAUAACCUCGGGAUCGGGAGGUUCAAAUCCCCCUGGCGCUA
rnacentral:tRNA from 2 species